AUACGUAGGGGGCGAGCGUUGUCCGGAAUGAUUGGGCGUAAAGGGCGCGCAGGCGGCCCGGUAAGUCUGGAGUGAAAGUCCUGUUUUUAAGAUGGGAAUUGCUUUGGAUACUGUCGGGCUUGAGUGCAGGAGAGGUAAGUGGAAUUCCCAGUGUAGCGGUGAAAUGCGUAGAGAUUGGGAGGAACACCAGUGGCGAAGGCGUCUUACUGGACUGUAACUGACGCUGAGGCGCGAAAGUGUGGGGAGCAAACAGGAUUAGAUACCCUGGUAGUCCACACUGUAAACGAUGAAUGCUAGGUGUAUGGGAUAUCGACCCCUUCUGUGCCGCAGUCAACACAAUAAGCAAUCCGCCUGGGGAGUACGGCCGCAAGGUUGAAACUCAAAGGAAUUGACGUGG
rnacentral:rRNA from 1 species